AACCCAUGGUGAGAGCACCGUCUCAAUAAGUCCUUAUACCUCUCUUAUGCAUCAUCUAAGGUUUCUAAGUCGAUCUGAACAAAUGAAGAGAUAUCAUUCCUCAACUU
rfam:Gossypium raimondii Chr03_contig_69, whole genome shotgun sequence.